CCUGGGCCUAGCUUUUUAUUAAUGCCAGAAAUGCGGGACAGAAUUAACCGGGGUUACCGGCUUAACAUCACUAGGUACAAAACACGACAAUGCAUCAGAAAAACCACCCAGUUUCAAAAAGAGCACCUAUGCCAAAACUCACCGGACAACCCUGGGGCAAAACACGGAGGCUAAAGCUAAAGCUAAUACAAAGUGGCACAGUACCAACAUAACCCAAGCUUGCUAACUGAUUAGAAAAAACACAGCUACUACUUCAUCCAGUCCGGGACCUUGGGCUUCUGAGACGCCUUACCGUCACUUGCAGAGCUGAAAUCCAACGCUCUAAAACCGCCACCUCUUCCACUUUCAGAAGUUUUUUCCACUAUAAAAGUAGACACACAAUUCCCAAGGGAAUAAUUAGUGGAAAAGAAACAAUUUUCUCGCGAAAAAUCAUAUCAUUCCUAACCGACCACAAUUGCCAGCAGCAAGCCGCAAGAAGACAGAAACUCACUCUAUGAAAAUUAGCUCUAAUAUUCCAAACAAACCAGUCAUUAAACUCAUCAAACGAACAAGGGAUUUUUCUUAAACCCAGAGCAUCUCGGCAUAAACACCAAGUAAACACAGCAAGAGGAUAGGAAAAGAAAAUAUGUUUAGAAUCUUCAACCGCAUUACAAAGUUGACACAAUUCUGAGCCAUUCCAAUUCAUUUUUUCAAUUGCCAAGCAGAUUGAAUCUUGUCAUGCCAAGCCAGCCAAAUAAAGUGUUUAAGUUUUAAAAGAAUAGGAGAACUCCAAAGGUUUUGCAUCUGGGCUUCACAGACACAUCUAAAAGUCAGCAUAUUAUACAUAGAAUGGGAGGUGAACUUGCAUUUAGAAUCAAGAGCCCAAACCAACUUAUCAGCCCCACCCCCCCAUCCUGGCUAUUAUCAGCUAGGUUGUUUACCAGGACACAAAGCUCAUUCCAAUGUCCAGCACCUUCCUGAGAGAAAGAACGUCUAAAAGUUAAUAUGUUAAUGCCUCCUUCAAUAACAUCUCGAACUAAGAUUUCUUUUUGAUUGCAAAUCUCAUAUAAGUACGGAAACAAAAUUUUUAGAGAGACAUUACCUAACCAGACAUACAUCUUUCCAAAACCAAAUGUGACUCCCAUCACCUCUAAUCCAAGAAACACCUCUAGACACCCAGGGCUUAACCUUGUGUAAACCUUGCCAAAAGAAAGAAAGAUUGCCACCUUUUACUUGGCUUUGAAAAAACCCAGAAUGAUUCAUAGAUUUAGCUCUGAGAACAGACAUACAUAAACUUUCAUCUUCUUAUUCCAAUUUAAGAAUCCAUUUAGCCAAAAGAGAAAAAUUCAUAGCUCUAGUUUUAGUAAAACCCAAACCUCCAAAAUUCUUGGGGAACACAAUAUUACUCAACUUAACCAUAUGAUAUCUCUUCUUAUCACCUAAACCUUCCCAAUAGAAACGGCCUCUAAUUGAAUCCAAUUUUUUAUGAAUGGACUCCAGGAGAAAAUAUAUAUAAGCCCAUGGCAUAAGAGGGUAUGGACGACAGAAGCAUUAAUCAAAACAACUCUCCCACUAAAGUACAAGGAUCUAGAUUGACAAGAAUUGAGCCUUUUUUCUAUUUUUUGGGGAAUAAACUCCAAAUCUGCAACUCUCAGUUUGUCAGGGCUCAUCGAAAGACCUAGAUAUUUUAGAGGGAAAGAACUAGUAUUACAGUUAAGCAUCAUAGCUAUCCUCUCUUCUUCAGCUAAAGAAACUCCCACUGUAAAGACCUCACUUUUAUGGUAAUUUAUUUUCAUACCCGAAACCUCUUCAAAACAGUAAAGAAGGAAUUUGGUAGCCAUAAUUUCCUCCUCAACACAAGGGAUGAAGAAGAUCAUGUCAUCAGUAUAUUGAAGAUGAGUCAAACCUCCAGGAACUAAAUGAGGGACAAUACCAAAACGGAUACCAUUUUGUUUAGACAACUCAAACAUUCUGGCUAAAGCAUCUCCCACCAAAUUAAAGAGAAGAGGAGAGAGGGGGUCCCCUUGUCUUAGGCUUCUAGAAGUUUUAAAGAACUUAGAUCUGGUACCAUUAAUAUUAAUACAGACUCUAUCCCCCAUGGCACAAGAUUUAACCCAAUUAAUCCAUAAGGGAGGAAAAAGUUUCCUUUGAAGCACCUCAAACAGAAAAUUCCAACUUACCCUAUCAUAAGCCUUUUCAAAGUCAAUUUUAAAAACAACUCCUGAAAGCUUUUUAUGUCUCAGUUCAUGUAAAACCUCAUGGAGAACUACCCCUCCUUCUAAAAUGAAUCUCCCAGGUAUAAAAGCAGUUUGAGUAUGAGAAAUAAUGUCAGCAGCAAUCAGAGAGAGUCUGUUAGUAACAACUUUGCUAAUAAUUUUGAAACAUUCAUCCAACACACAAAUGGGUCUAAACUGUUUAAUGCUAUUGGCACUAUCACAUUUAGGGAUAAGAGAGAUAACCCCAAAAUUUAGUCUCUUUAAAUCCAACUCCUAAUGAAACAAGAGGAUCAACAUCUCAUAUAGGUCCUGUUUAAGAUGAUCCCAGAAUAUUUUAUAGAAAUGAAUAGAGAAACCAUCCGAGCCAGGAGCUGUGUUGUUUUUUGCUUGAUUGAUAACCCUAUCCAGCUCUUUCAUCUCAAAGGGUUUCAAAAUUAACUCUCUGUGGUCAUCAGUUAAGAAGCCAUCUCCACACCAGAAAUUAUCACAGAGAUGGAUAUUAGGAAGAGGUUCAGCUCUAAAAAGUUUUUUAUAAAAGCUGACAAUAUGAGUAGUUAAAACCCCUGGGUCAGAAAUAACAUUGUCACCAUCUAUAAGAGAGUGAAUAUAACUCUCUCUUCCUACCAUUUGCUUUUUUGUGGAAGUAGGAAGUAUUCCUAUCUCCCUGGAGAAGCCAUUCUUCUCCACUCCUCUUAUGCCAAUACAACUCUUCCAUUUCAUAAAUGCGCUCGAGAUCAUUUUCUAAAGUUUAUCUCUUACUCCGUUGAUCUAAAGAGAGGUCACCCAAAUUGGCCAACAGAUCUAAAUCUCCUAUUUUAUCAAGCAACGCUUCUUUAGCUCUCUUAGUAUCUCCAGCACAGUUGGCACCCCACCCUUUCAAAAACCUUCUGAUCAUACCCAUCUUCUUGUCCCAAAAAGUAAGAAUGUAGUCAUUAUUCCUCACUAGCAUUUUACCCACCACUAGCUUUUUAAAACCAUCAAUUACAGACCAAUAAGAUUCAAAUUUAAAAUACUUAGGGGCUCUUGCCUCCUCAUCCCCAGAAGAUAACAACAAAGUGGUAUGGUCUGAACCGGCUCUAGUUAAAGUAGUAAGAGAGGAGAGAGGAAAAUGACUUUCCCAAUCAGACGAAACAAAAACUCAAUCCAAAAGUACUUGGGUUGGGUUUAACUGUUUAUUAGUCCAAGUAUAUUUCACACAAGACCUAUAUAACUCUCUAAGCCCAGUGGCAGCAACAAAGUCAUUAAAACAAGUCAUAACUCUGAUAUCAAUGUUAUCAUUAGAUUUUUCAUGGGCAAAACGAUACAUAUUAAAAUCUCCUCCCAUAAUGACAGGUCUAGCACAUUGAUCAAUAAAAACAUCCAAUUCUUCCAGAAAUAACAUUUUUUCACCAUAAGAAGGACCAUACACAUUAAUCAAUUCAAAUUCAAACCCAUCUUUCCUGCAUUUAACCCCUCUACUAUGAAAAGAGGAGCCAGUAAAACUAGAAAUAUUGAUGAAGAGAUCUGGAUCAAUUCCAGUCAGAAUCCCUCCAGCAGAGCCAUUAGCUGGUUUAAAACUCCAGUCAAAAUUUUUACUCCCAUUAAUAUAAUGCAGCUCUCUAUCAGUAAAACUCACCUUCUUAGUUUCUUGCAAACAAACCACAUCAGCCACGUACUUCCCAAUCAAAUCUCUAACUUGAGCCCUUCUGUUACUAUUCCCUAGCCCUCUAGCAUUCUAAAAAAUAACUUUCAUGAUAGUUAUUUAGAUUUGUUACCACCUCUCCUCUUUUGCACUUUAGGAGCCUCCUCCCUAGGAGAUUCCACACUCACCUCCUCAACCUUUUUUCCUUGCAACUCUCCAGUGAUCUGAUUAGGCCAGCCAAUUAAUGGUAAAUAUAGUCUAUGAUCC
rnacentral:lncRNA from 1 species